rnacentral:rRNA from 1 species
AUGAAGACGGGGGCCGCAACCGAGCUGCAUAGGGGACCGCGACCGAGCUGCACGAAGACAGGGUCUCUCUCCUCCUCUCUGUCUCCGCAUCGGAUCCGAGGUGAGGCGGCGAUGCAGAUCCAGGUCCGGUGCGGGUGCGGCGAGGCGGCGUGCCCAAAGUGGGCGGUGGUGGAGGUGCAGGGCGUGCUGCAGCCGCAGCCCUGCUUCUCCGACUGCAUCCAAGACCUCCACAUCGGCCGCCUCUGCUCCACUUCCUCCGCCCCGUACUCCAAGGCAAGAACCACGAACUCUCCUCGUAGCGGUCGGGCGCGAAGAAGAAGAUGGCAGGGCGGCGCCUGCUCACGGCGGCCAGGCGCGGAGAGGAAGGCGUGUGGGUGGUGCUGGCUUGCCACGGCCGCGCGCAGAGAUGGAGGCGGCGGAGCGACGCUGGCUCACAGUAGCCGGCUGUAG